rnacentral:rRNA from 1 species
UACGUAGGGGGCAAGCGUUGUCCGGAAUCAUUGGGCGUAAAGCGCGCGUAGGCGGCCCUGUAAGUCCGCUGUAAAAGUCAAAGGCUCAACCUUUGAAAGCCGGUGGAUACUGCAGGGCUAGAGUCCGGAAGAGGCGAGUGGAAUUCCUGGUGUAGCGGUGGAAUGCGCAGAUAUCAGGAGGAACACCGAUGGCGAAGGCAGGUCACUGGGCCGCAACUGACGCUGAGGAGCGAAAGCAUGGGGAGCGAACAGG